GUGGGCGUAGCUCAGCUGGUAGAGCGCUGGACUGUGGCUCCAGUGGCCGAGGGUUCGAACCCCUCCGCCCACC
rnacentral:tRNA from 1 species